GCAAGUCGAGCGCACCUUCGGGUGAGUGGCGGACGGGUGAGGAACACGUGGGAACAUACCUUUUGGUACGGAAUAGCCUCGGGAAACUGGGAGUAAUACCGUAUACGUCCUUUGGUUUUAGCGACUGGAGGAGAAAGAUUUAUCGCCGAGAGAUUGGCCCGCGUUGGAUUAGCUAGUUGGUGGGGUAAAGGCCUACCAAGGCAACGAUCUAUAGCUGGUUUGAGAGGAUGAUC
rnacentral:rRNA from 1 species